GUGCCUGCUUCAGCAGCACAUACACUAAAAUCGGAAUGACACAGAGAAGAUUAGCAUGGCCCCUGUAUAAGAAUGACAUGCAAAUCCGUGAAGCAUUCCUUAUUUUU
ensembl:snRNA U6 U6 spliceosomal RNA